UGCCUCUUAGCUCAGUCGGUAGAGCACAUGACUGUUAAUCAUGGGGUCGUCAGUUCGAGCCUGACAGAGGCAGCCA
rnacentral:tRNA from 1 species